rnacentral:lncRNA from 1 species
CGCCACCAUGUCUGGCUAAUUUUUGUAUUUUUAGUAAAGACAGGGUUUCACUAUGUUGGCCAGGCUGGUCUUGAACUCCCGACCUCUUGAUCUGCCGACCUUGGCCUCCCAAAGUGCUGGGAUUACAGGCGUGAGCCACCGCGCCCGGCCAGUGGUCUGAUGUGUUUUAAAAUCUGUUGGGGUAAAUAUGUUAGCAUCAGUGAUCUAUUCAUUUGCUUCAUAAUUACUUAGAAAAAACCUCUGAGAUUCUUGCCUGAUUACUCUUGCAGCUGAAUGUCACAACCAAUAUGUCAUGUUUUAUAAAAAUGCAGCGAGGAUUUUAAUUGAUAUUGAAUUGACUCUUUCAUAGUAACUUAUUUUUAUCUUUACUACGUUCUGCCUUCCCAAAUGGCAGUCAAGUUUAGCUUUCCAUGAAUUCAUGUUUUUUUAUUUUUCUCAUUGUACUUUUAAAUUUUCUUUAAUAGUUACUAUGUGCUGCACACAGUAAACCUUGAGCGUAAUUUGUUUUCAUUCUAUUGUAAAUAGAAGCUCUUUAUGCUGUAUUUUCUGUCUCCCUAAUAUUUAGGGAUACAUUUGCUUCUUUGAAAACUGAUACCCAUAUACCCUGUAACUUUGAAUUUAUUGCUUCUAGGAUUUUUUUUGUUAUUGAUGCUGUUGCUUUGUUUUGGCUGAAUUUCUUGGAUUUUUAGGGAGUUAUGCUCGCUAAAAACAAAGUUUUAUUUAUUUAGAAUUUUUAUUUAUUUAUUUUUAUUUUUUGAAACAGAGUCUUGCUCUGUUACCCAGGCUGGAGUGCAGUGGUCCAACCAUGGCUCAUUGCAGCUUCAACCUCUCAGACUCAAGCGAUCCUCCUCCCUCAGCCUCCCAAGUGACUGGGACCAUAGGUGUGGGCCACCACCCCAGGCUAAUUUUUUUUUUUUUUUUUUUAAUAGAGAUGAGGUCUCACUGUGUUGCCCAGGCUGGUCUCAAAUUCCUGGGCUCAAGCAAUCCUCCUGCGUCAGCUUCCCAAAGUGCUGGGGUUGUAGACGUGAACCAUAGCACCUGGCUUAUUUAGAACUUUUUUUUUUGGAGAUGGAGUCUCUGUUGCCCAGGCUGGGGUGCUGUGGCACCAUCUCGGUUCAUUGCAACCUCUGCCUCCUGGAUUCAAGUGAUUCUCAAACCUCAGCAUCUCAAGUAGCUGGGAUUACAGGCACCCGCCACCAUGCCUGGCUAAUUUUUUUUUUGUAUUUUUAGUAGAGACGGGGUUUCACCAUGUUGGCCAGGCUGGUCUCAAACUCCUGACCUCAAGAGAUCCGCCCACCUCAGCUUCCCAAAGUGCUGGGAUUACAGACGUGAGCCACCGCGCUCGGCCUUUGUAGAACUUUUAAACACAAACUGCUUAUCGAGGAUUUCAAAUGUUUUAUUGCAAUUAUUUGUUAUAGUUGCUGUUAUUGGUUUUCUAGACUUACUACAUCCUUUCCUCUCUUCUCUGAACAUGAUUACAUUUUCUUUUUUUUUGAGACCGAGUUUCACUCUUGUACCCCAGACUGGAGGUGCAAUGGCGGGAUCUCAGCUCAUUGCAACCUAUGCCUUCCGGGUUCAAGUGAUUCUCCUUCCUCAGCCACCCGAGUAGUUGGGAUUACAGGCGCGCGUGCCACCACGCGCAAAUUUUUGCAUUUUUAGUAGAGACAAGGUUUCACUACGUUGGCCAGGCUGGUCUCAAACUCCUGACCUCAGGUGACCCACCUACCUCGGCCUCCCAAAGUGCUAGGAUUACAGGCGUGAGCCACCGCGACUGGCCCAUGAUUAUAUUUUCUGAUACACUUUUUCCUCCAACAUUUUUAUCAGUAAUAGAUACUGAAUUUUACUGAUAGCCUCCUCAACCUUUUUUGAAAUGAUUAUUUCAUCCUUUGUCUAGUUAAUGUUAGUUGUUUGUAACAUUUUCCUUGUAAUAUGCUAUCCUUGCAUUCCACCAUUUGGGGUAGUCAAUUUAUUAUCUAUAUUAAAUAUAAAAUUUUAACAAAAUAGUACUUAUCUCAUAAAAUAGGCUGGGCAACACAAAACACAAAAUAAUUUUUUAUAUUCCAGCACAUUUUAAAUAAUAUAAGGAAAUUCUUUGAGGAAUUUGCAAAAAAUCCUUCAUUGAAUUCACUGGAGCCAAGGAUAUUUUUGAAAGACUCACUUUGUAUUAAAUGUCUUCCUUUGAUAUUGAUCUAACCACUUUCUUCCUAUUUUUUGCUGCGUUCUUAGCAUUAUGAAUAUUUAGUGACUAUCUCUGAUUAUCUCUGAUGCAUGAUCACAUUUCCUAUUCUGUAGAUAAAAAGAAAAUGCCAUGGAAAGACUUUCUGCCUGGGUCAAAAGUUGGCCUUAGCUUCUCAGAUUACAUUCAAUAGGCCCCCCUGGAGCAAUGCACACCCA